GCCUUCGUGGUGUAGUGGUCAGCACGCUCGACGCGUAACAGAGAGGCCUCGUGGUUCGAUUCCCGGCGAAGGCG
rnacentral:tRNA from 1 species